UACGGAGGGGGCUAGCGUUGUCCGGAAUCAUUGGGCGUAAAGAGCGCGUAGGCGGUCCGGUAAGUCCGCUGUGAAAGUCGGGGGCUCAACCCUCGAAUGCCGGUGGAUACUGUCGGGCUAGAGUGCGGAAGAGGCGAGUGGAAUUCCUGGUGUAGCGGUGAAAUGCGCAGAUAUCAGGAGGAACACCUAUUGCGAAGGCAGCUCGCUGGGACGUAACUGACGCUGAGACGCGAAAGCGUGGGGAGCAAACAGG
rnacentral:rRNA from 1 species